AAUAUUGGACAAUGGGCGAAAGCCUGAUCCAGCUAUGCCGCGUGUGUGAAGAAGGUCUCCGGAUUGUAUAGCACUUUAAGCUGGGAUGAAGGGCAGUUAGUUAAUAAGUUGCACACUUGACUUUACCGAUAGAAUAAGCCCCGGCCAAUUUCGUGCCAUCAGCCGCGGUAAUACGAAGGGCGCAAGCGUUAAUCGGAAUUACUGGGCGUAAAGCGCGCGUAGGUGGUUUGUUAAGUUGGAAGUGAAAGCCCUGGGCUCAACCUGGGAACUGCUUUAAAAACUGGCGGACUAGAGUAUGGCAGAGGGUAGUGGAAUUUCCUGUGUAGCGGUGAAAUGCGUAGAUAUAGGAAGGAACACCAGUGGCGAAGGCGACCACCUGGGCUAAUACUGACACUGAGGUGCGAAAGCGUGGGGAGCAAAC
rnacentral:rRNA from 1 species